rnacentral:rRNA from 1 species
UACGUAGGGGGCGAGCGUUGUCCGGAUUUAUUGGGCGUAAAGAGCUCGUAGGCGGUUCGAUAAGUCGGACGUGAAAUCUCCACGCUCAACGUGGAGGGGCCGUUCGAUACUGUCGUGACUCGAGUCCGGUAGGGGAGAGUGGAAUUCCUGGUGUAGCGGUGAAAUGCGCAGAUAUCAGGAAGAACACCCGUGGCUAAGGCGGCUCUCUAGUACGGUACUGACGCUGAGACGCGAAAGCGUGGGGAGCGAACAGG